AGUGGGGCACCAUCUGGAUGCACGAAGCACACAUUUACAGGCCUGGAGCAAUAAUUUUCCCUGAACUGCUCAGUGUCACAUGAACAAAAGAGAAUGAAAUAACCUGGGGACAGCUGAAGUGCUGCCUUCAUGACUUCAGAAUUUCUAUCCCAACUGAGCGGCAAAUGGAAUCAUGUUACUGGCCAUAAAGAGGUUACUUUCAUUGAGCAUCUUCUACAUGGCAGGCAGAAGUACGGAUGUGAAGAGGUGGAGAUGAAUUGAGUCAUGUGCUACACACACUUGAUCUUCUUGACUUCUUUCAACAGCUCUAAGAGGAAAAAGAAAUCCCCAAAGUUCAACUGAUAGUGAUUAUGAAGGCCACUUCUAUCAAAACACACAGUUGAAUGAUAUGAGGAUGGCAACUUGUAUGUGUUUAUUUUCGUCAAACUCAAUCUGCAAUAUCCUUAUCAGCUCUCCCAACAUUCCUAGGCCCUGGAACUCCACAAAAAGGUCCCUGACUGACAAAGGUGUUAGAAACUAUUAUAAGGAUAUUGGCAUUUAUUCUGAGAGAGAUGGGGAGAGAUGCAAAAGAGUGACUUAUAUUCUAAAAGAUCUGCCCAGCUGCUGUGUUGAAAAUUUUAACAGGGCAAGGUGGAAGAAAGGAGAACAGUUGGGAGGCUACAGCUGUAAUCCAGUUGGAUGUAAAUAUUAUUACAAAUUAAACCACUGGGAGACCUUCAAGAUGGCGGAGGAGUAAGACGUGGAGAUCACCUUCCUCCCCACAAAUACAUCAGAAAUAUAUCUACAUGUGGAACA